CGAAUUCGCCCUUCCUACGGGAGGCAGCAGUGGGGAAUCUUGCGCAAUGGGCGAAAGCCUGACGCAGCCAUGCCGCGUGGAUGAUGAAGGUCUCAGGAUUGUAAAAUCCUUUCACCGGGGACGAUAAUGACGGUACCCGGAGAAGAAGCCCCGGCUAACUUCGUGCCAGCAGCCGCGGUAAUACGAAGGGGGCUAGCGUUGCUCGGAAUUACUGGGCGUAAAGGGCGCGUAGGCGGACAGUUAAGUUGGGGGUGAAAGCCCGGGGCUCAACCUCGGAAUUGCCUUCAAUACUGGCUGUCUUGAGUACGGGAGAGGUGAGUGGAACUCCGAGUGUAGAGGUGAAAUUCGUAGAUAUUCGGAAGAACACCAGUGGCGAAGGCGACUCACUGGCCCGUUACUGACGCUGAGGCGCGAAAGCGUGGGGAGCAAACAGGAUUAGAUACCCUGGUAGUCCACGCCGUAAACGAUGAGUGCUAGUUGUCGGCAUGCAUGCAUGUCGGUGACGCAGCUAACGCAUUAAGCACUCCGCCUGGGGAGUACGGUCGCAAGAUUAAAACUCAAAGGAAUUGACGG
rnacentral:rRNA from 1 species